rnacentral:rRNA from 1 species
UACGGAGGAGGCAAGCGUUAUCCGGAAUUAUUGGGCGUAAAGCGUCCGCAGGUGGCACCUCAAGUCUGCUGUCAAAGACCGGGGCUUAACCCCAGAAAGGCAGUGGAAACUGAAGUGCUAGAGUGCAGUAGGGGUAGAGGGAAUUCCCGGUGUAGCGGUGAAAUGCGUAGAGAUCAGGAAGAACACCAGUGGCGAAAGCGCUCUGCUGGACCUUAACUGACACUGAGGGACGAAAGCUAGGGGAGCGAAUGGG